UUCCAAAACAUCUUCACUAGACGGGCUCCAACCACAUGAGGAGAAAGAAGUAGGUCGUCCGGGCUGAUAAUUGGGACAUUUUGGUAAUAGAGACUCGUAAUGGAACGAGUUCAGUUCCAGCAGAGUUAAGAUUUUCCUUCUGGGGAAACCAGCAGGGAUGGAAAAACAGAGAAGGAGAAAGAAGGCCACCUCUCAGCAGAAAAGGAGACAUGCCCUCCUGUUUCGGUUUAGAAGAUUUUGGAAGAAAAAUCAAAGCUGCUGUUGUGAACAAGAAACAAAUGAAAUGAUGGUCUUCAGUCUUAUUUUCUAUCCUGCAGGUCCUCCCUGAGCGCCGGCUCGUCUGAUGUCACUACCUGCGGCCCGGCGGGAGCGCAGGAAACGAAGCCCGAGAGUGCUGCCGCGUAAGGUGAAGCAGGAGAAGGCAGAUGUUGCAGGGAGUUCUUCACCGUACGAGCAGCUUCUUUGGGAUUGACCAGGCG